rnacentral:lncRNA from 1 species
UUCACCACCCGAGGAGGGUGGUCAAGCAGAUCAUUAGGGGAGUUUUCUUGUACCCUUUACCUUCAUUCAAUGGGGCAUUGAAUAUUAUAAGUUUGGGGGUAUUGGGGAGUAGUAUAGUAGCAUGUAGUUAGUUUUUGCAUGUUUAGUUAAAACGUUGCAUGGUUAGUUUAACAAUUUAGUUAUUUUUGGUGUUAUUGUUUUAUUGAUAGAAAAUUUUUUGUUUAAGUUAAUUUACAUGUCUCACAAAGUUCUUGUUUUAUGGAAUUUCUUGCCUAGCCAAUGAUGAUAGUGAAUUGUGAAGGAUUCUUGAAUAUAUGGGAUAACAUGAACGUAGUUAUAAUGUUUUACACGAUGGAAUUCAUGUUGCUGUUUAAAUGCUUUCGGUUUGAACGAAUGUGUUCACAAUCACUUGUAGGCAUAAGAGUUAUAUGUUGCAUUGCUUGUUAGAAAAUGUAGUUUUAAAAAGAGAAAUAUGUGGAACAUGCAUGUAGUCUUGACAAACAUUGACAUUCAAACUUUAGGAAAACAUGGGUAUGUUAUGUGUAAAAAAAAUAAAAAAAUAAAAAAAUAAAAAAAUAAUGAAUAACAAUAACGUGGCUAGUCUUAUUUCGGGGCCCUGGCUACUUGAGUAAGUACGCCCGAGGGGAUUGUCUUUACACCUAGUGCCCUAAGGUCUUUCAUGGUCUGGGAGUCGUUGGUUGAAAGCUCGCUAAAGGGUAGUAGUGUUGCCUAAUGGAAUAAGGCAUUGCACAGUCAUGUAUAUAAAAAAAAAGAAAAAGGGAAAAAGAAAAGAAAAUAGCAAUAAACACCACGGGAAAGAGCAAAAAUCGCCCUCGUGAGUAGCAAUAAAGCAAUUAAGCCCAUUGUUGAACUAUAGUUUGUUUAGAUAUGUGAAACAGUUUACGUUGUAUAAGUAUACAUGAUUCUCAAUUUAGGCUAUAAUUUUCUGCUUUGAGCAUGUUAGUAUAUAUAUUCUUUGCUGGAAUCAAGUUUUGGUGAACACUACACACACACAGCAUCUCUAUAGCAUGUAUGAAUUAUCUGAGUGUAUGAUGUUAUGACCAUCGUUUAGUUUGAACUUAUAUUCCUGAAUCUGGAUAAUUCGCUGAGGC